rnacentral:ncRNA from 2 species
AUUCGUCUUCGGGGCAGGGUGAAAUUCCCUACCGGCGGUGAUGAAACACUCGAUGUUUCUAAGCCCGCGAGCCUUUUGUGGCAGGAUUUGGUGAAAUUCCAAAGCCGACAGUACAGUCUGGAUGGGAGAAGAUGAAG